rnacentral:rRNA from 1 species
GGCCUGGCUAAUCUUUUGAAAUACAAUCGUACUUGGGCUUGCGGCUUGCAACUAGCCGCACCAACGAGGAAUUCCUAGUAGACCCAAGUCAUCAACUUGCAUCGAUUACGUCCCUGCCCUUUGUACACACUGCCCGUCGCUGCAACCGAUUGGGUGCCUCGGUGAAUUGUCGGGAGAACUUGGCUGGCCUCCGGGUCGGUCGGGUUCGAACUUCAAUAAAUUUGGGUACCUAGAGAUUGCAGAAGUCGUAACAAGGUUUCCGU